rnacentral:rRNA from 1 species
AGGAUGAACGCUGGCGGCGUGCCUAACACAUGCAAGUCGAACGAAGCAUACGGACUGGAGAUUCGUCGAAGGACCGUAUGACUUAGUGGCGGACGGGUGAGUAAUGUAUGAGCAACCUGCCUUUCAGAGGGGGACAACAGUUGGAAACGACUGCUAAUACCGCGUAACGUAUCGUGAGGGCAUCCUCGUGAUACCAAAGGAGCAAUCCGCUGAAAGAUGGGCUCAUAUCUGAUUAGCUUGUUGGCGGGGUAACGGCCCACCAAGGCGACGAUCAGUAGCCGGACUGAGAGGUUGAACGGCCACAUUGGGACUGAGAUACGGCCCAGACUCCUACGGGAGGCAGCAGUGGGGAAUAUUGGGCAAUGGGCGAAAGCCUGAACCCCAGCAACGCCGCGUGAAGGAAGAAGGUCUUCGGAUUGUAAACUUCUUUUAUGAGGGACGAAGGACGUGACGGUACCUCAUGAAUAAGCCACGGCUAACUACGUGCCAGCCGCUGC